rnacentral:rRNA from 1 species
GACGAACGCUGGCGGCGUGCCUAAUACAUGCAAGUCGAACGCAGUGGGGACGGGUGAGUAACACGUGGGUAACCUCCCAUCAGAGGGGAUAACACUUGGAAACAGGUGCUAAACCGAUACUGAUGGAUGGACCCGCGGUGCAUUGGCUAGUUGGGGAGGUAACGGCUCACCAAGGCCACGAUGCAUAGGCGGCUGGUAAGGGUGAUCGGCCACACUGGAACUGAGACACGGCCCAGACUCCGACGGAAGGCAGCAGUAGGGAAUCUUCGGCAAUGGGCGAAAGUCUGACCGAGCAACGCCGCGGGAGUGAAGAAGGUUGUCGGAUCGUAAAACUCUGUUGUUAGAGAAGCGGUAUCUAGCCAGAAAGCCACGGCUAACUACGAGCCAGCAGCCGCGGUAAUUC